CAGUAGCCGCGGUAAUACGUAGGUGGCAAGCGUUGUCCGGAAUUAUUGGGCGUAAAGGGCGCGUAGGCGGACUGAUAAGUCAGGGGUGAAAUCCCAAGGCUCAACCUUGGAACUGCCUUUGAUACUGUUUGUCUUGAGUUUGAGAGAGGUAAGUGGAACUGCGAGUGUAGAGGUGAAAUUCGUAGAUAUUCGCAAGAACACCAGUGGCGAAGGCGGCUUACUGGCUCGAUACUGACGCUGAGGCGCGAAAGCGUGGGGAGCAAACAGGAUUAGAUACCCGCGUAGUCCCUGUCUCUUAUAU
rnacentral:rRNA from 1 species